AUUGAACGCUGGCGGCAGGCCUAACACAUGCCAGUCGAGCGGAUGAAGGGAGCUUGCUCCUGGAUUCAGCGGCGGACGGGUGAGUAAUGCCUAGGAAUCUGCCUGGUAGUGGGGGAUAACGUCCGGAAACGGGCGCUAAUACCGCAUACGUCCUGAGGGAGAAAGUGGGGGUUCUUCGGACCUCACGCUAUCAGAUGAGCCUAGGUCGGAUUAGCUAGUUGGUGGGGUAAAGGCCUACCAAGGCGACGAUCCGUAACUGGUCUGAGAGGAUGAUCAGCCACACUGGAACUGAGACACGGUCCAGACUCCUACGGGAGGCAGCAGUGGGGAAUAUUGGACAAUGGGCGAAAGCCUGAUCCAGCCAUGCCGCGUGUGUGAAGAAGGUCUUCGGAUUGUAAAGCUCUUUAAGUUGGGAGGAAGGGCAGUAAGUUAAUACCUUGCUGUUUUGACGUUACCAACAGAAUAAGCACCGGCUAACUUCGUG
rnacentral:rRNA from 1 species